GGUCCCGUAGUGUAGCGGUUAGCACUUUGGACUUUGAAUCCAGCAGCGUGAGUUCGAAUCUCGCCGGGACCU
rfam:Pristionchus pacificus strain PS312 contig9352, whole genome shotgun sequence.